rnacentral:tRNA from 1 species
GCGGAUAUCGUAUAAUGGGAUUACCUCAGCCUUCCAAGCUGAUGAUACGGGUUCGAUUCCCGUUUUCCGCUCCA